GGCACCCAAGCAAUCAUAUCUCCGAUCGAAGCAUCGAUCAAAUCGACCUAGUCGAUUAUAUUCCAACAAGACCACUCACGGUCAUUUCCAUUCAGUCAAUCAAUUCACAACAUCAAAUCAAAGCAAGGAUCAAUCGACUUAGUCGAUUACAUGCCAGACGGACCAUUCUAGGUCAUUGAUUCCACACCAUAUAUUCUUUCAUCGAGUACUCGGUCACAGAGCCACAUCAAUGCUCUCGGGCGUCAACUUCGCCAAGGUGACGUAUCCACUAGACAACUGUGUGCGUUCUUUAAGGCGCCGUUUUCGCCAGUGAUAUCCCAAAUCACCGAACCACACAUGCCUACAAUGAUUUUAUCAAUAGACAAUUGCGUGCGUUCUUUAAGGCGCCAUUUUCGCCAGUGAUGUCCUUAUCACCGAACCACGCAUGCCUAUAACCAUGUACUCACUAGACAAUUGUGUGCGUUCUUUAAGGCGCCGUUUUCGCCAGUGAGUUCCAUAAUCACCGAACCACACAUGCCUAUAACAAUAUAUUUAAUAGACAAGUGUAUGCGUUCUUUAAGGCGCCGUUUUUGCCAGUGACACCCUCAGUCACCGAACCAUACAUGCCUAUAACAAUGUGAGUACUAGACCGAUACGUGCGUUCUUUAAGGCGCCGUUUUCGCCAGUGAUAUCCCAAUCACCGAACCACAUAGGUCCAUAAUAAUGUAUGUACUAGACCGAUACGUGCGUUCUUUAAGGCGCCGUUUUCGCCAGUGAUAUCCCAAUCACCGAACCACGUAGGUCCAUACACCGUGUCUGAUUGGUUCAAUCCCAGAGUACUUCUGAUUCACUCUCAUCAUUC
rnacentral:lncRNA from 1 species